UGUUUCAUGUGGGGGGACCGGUGUUGCCGGUUGAGAUUGUAUCCAAUAGAUACUGACCCUUGGAACCUGAUCUGGCUGAGACCAGCGUAGGGAACAUAUCUGAACACGUA
rnacentral:ncRNA from 2 species